GAACGUGCCGAGUAAUGGGGGAUAACGCAUCGAAAGGUGUGCUAAUACCGCAUACGCUCUGAGGAGGAAAGCGGGGGACCUUCGGGCCUCGCGUUAUUCGAGCGGCCGACGUCUGAUUAGCUAGUUGGUGGGGUAAAGGCUCACCAAGGCGACGAUCAGUAGCGGGUCUGAGAGGAUGAUCCGCCACACUGGGACUGAGACACGGCCCAGACUCCUACGGGAGGCAGCAGUGGGGAAUUUUGGACAAUGGGCGAAAGCCUGAUCCAGCCAUGCCGCGUGAGUGAAGAAGGCCUUCGGGUUGUAAAGCUCUUUUGUCCGGGAGGAAAUCCCGCAACCUAAUACGUUGCGGGGAUGACAGUACUGGAAGAAUAAGCACCGGCUAACUACGUGCCAGCAGCCGCGGUAAUACGUAGGGUGCAAGCGUUAAUCGGAAUUACUGGGCGUAAAGCGUGCGCAGGCGGUUUGAUAAGUCAGAUGUGAAAUCCCCGGGCUUAACCUGGGAACUGCGUUUGAAACUGUCAGGCUAGAGUACGUCAGAGGGGGGUGGAAUUCCACGUGUAGCAGUGAAAUGCGUAGAGAUGUGGAGGAACACCGAUGGCGA
rnacentral:rRNA from 1 species